CCGGCGACCGGCGCACGGGUGAGUAACGCGUAUCCCACCUUCCGCUUACUCGGGGAUAGCCUUUCGAAAGAAAGAUUAAUACCCGAUGGUAUCUUAAGCACGCAUGAGAUUAAGAUUAAAGAUUUAUCGGUAAGCGAUGGGGAUGCGUUCCAUUAGGCAGUUGGCGGGGUAACGGCCCACCAAACCUACGAUGGAUAGGGGUUCUGAGAGGAAGGUCCCCCACAUUGGAACUGAGACACGGUCCAAACUCCUACGGGAGGCAGCAGUGAGGAAUAUUGGUCAAUGGGCGAGAGCCUGAACCAGCCAAGUAGCGUGAAGGAUGACGGCCCUACGGGUUGUAAACUUCUUUUGUGCGGGAAUAAAGGAGCCUACGUGUAGGCUUUUGCAUGUACCGUAACGAAUAAGCAUCGGCUAACUCCGUGCCAGCAGCCGCGGUAAUACGGAGGAUGCGAGCGUUAUCCGGAUUUAUUGGGUUUAAAGGGAGCGUAGACGGGUUUUUAAGUCAGCUGUGAAAGUUUGGGGCUCAACCUUAAAAUUGCAGUUGAAACUGGAGACCUUGAGUACGGUUGAGGCAGGCGGAAUUCGUGGUGUAGCGGUGAAAUGCUUAGAUAUCACGAAGAACUCCGAUUG
rnacentral:rRNA from 1 species